GUUUUACUUUCUUUCUAUAACAUCACGUACACUUCACUUUCUUAUAAUUGAGAAUUAAAGCACAGUUCAUAAAGAAAAGUUGUAGUAGUGUUCGUGAGUUUGUGAGUGUGUUAGGGGCCUGAACCAACAAUUGGUAUCAGAGCGCAAGGUGAAGACGAGGGCCGUUUUGAGAGUCGCUUCGAGAAGUGGAGCAGCCUUUUGGCUACAGGGCUGAAGACGAAGAAGGAAGGUGCAAGGGUGAUCACGUCUGGUGAUCAAAAGAAAGAAAAACGGCAAGACAGAAAGCUGGUUUAUUAGAUCAGCAAGAAAGAGAAAGAAAGAAGGUCGUAGCCGGGCCACAAGAAAGAGAAAGAAGACGGUGGCGGUUGCCAACCAGACCGAAAGAAAGUAAGAUCAAGGAAGACCGCUGUCGGAAAGAUUGUUCUGACGGGAGAAAGAAGAAAGAGACCGUGGCCGGAGAUUGAUUUCUGGCGUGAGACCGAGAAGACUGAAGAAGCCGCACGAGACCGACGGCUUGAAGAAAAGUAGACCGAAGGAGGCAAUUGAGACUAGCGGUUCGCCUAAGAAAGAAAGACCGAUAAGCUGCAAGAAAGAUAGGCGGCUAAACUAGACCGAGACCGUGGGUGUGACAUUGACUGAAGGUUCGCACCAAGAUAGACCGAGAAAGAUCGUAGACCGAAAGAAGCUUUUAUCGAAAGAAAGCUUAGACCGUAAGACCGAAAUUGUGAACAAAGACCGAGAGUUCACAUUAGAUCGAGUCGUGAACCGAAGACCGAAAGUGUUCACGUUAGAAAGAAAGAGAAGACCGAAACUAUAGCGGACCUACAAGGUUCGUGUAGCAAGUAUGUUUGAGCCAUGUGUGGUUCGUAGUAAGAAACAAGAAUGGAAGUCAAGAUUAAGGGGGUGAAUUGGUCAUGGAGAAGUGGUCUUGAUUUGACCGAAGUUGGUGGAAUAUGGACGUUGAGGGCAUGCAAAUGUUUAGAGUAUAGUUUUGAAUAAGUCUUCCACAUUUUGUGUGGUUAUAGGUAGUUUACGUUGUAUUAUGGUGUCAUGUAUGGCUAUAUAUCCUAGUCCUUUAUUGAAUAAAAUAAGCCUUGUUUUACUUUCUU
rnacentral:lncRNA from 1 species